GGCGAUUGUCGGCUUAGUCGCU
rnacentral:miRNA from 11 species